AGAGUUUGAUCCUGGCUCAGGAUGAACGCUAGCUACAGGCUUAACACAUGCAAGUCGAGGGGCAGCAUGAACUUAGCUUGCUAAGUUUGAUGGCGACCGGCGCACGGGUGAGUAACGCGUAUCCAACCUUCCGUUUACUCAGGGAUAGCCUUUCGAAAGAAAGAUUAAUACCUGAUAGUAUGGUAAGAUUGCAUGGUAAUACCAUUAAAGAUUCAUUGGUAAACGAUGGGGAUGCGUUCCAUUAGGUAGUAGGCGGGGUAACGGCCCACCUAGCCGACGAUGGAUAGGGGUUCUGAGAGGAAGGUCCCCCACAUUGGAACUGAGACACGGUCCAAACUCCUACGGGAGGCAGCAGUGAGGAAUAUUGGUCAAUGGGCGGAAGCCUGAACCAGCCAAGUAGCGUGAAGGAUGAAGGUUCUAUGGAUUGUAAACUUCUUUUAUACGGGAAUAACGGUUCUCACGUGUGGGAAUGUGCAUGUACCGUAUGAAUAAGCAUCGGCUAACUCCGUGCCAGCAGCCGCGGUAAUACGGAGGAUGCGAGCGUUAUCCGGAUUUAUUGGGUUUAAAGGGAGCGCAGACGGGAUGUUAAGUCAGCUGUGAAAGUUUGCGGCUCAACCGUAAAAUUGCAGUUGAUACUGGCGUUCUUGAGUGCAGUUGAGGUGUGCGGAAUUCGUGGUGUAGCGGUGAAAUGCUUAGAUAUCACGAAGAACUCCCAUUGCGAAGGCAGCUCACUAAACUGCAACUGACGUUCAUGCUCGAAAGUGUGGGUAUCAAACAGGAUUAGAUACCCUGGUAGUCCACACGGUAAACGAUGAAUACUCGCUGUUGGCGAUAUACAGUCAGCGGCCAAGCGAAAGCAUUAAGUAUUCCACCUGGGGAGUACGCCGGCAACGGUGAAACUCAAAGGAAUUGACGGGGGCCCGCACAAGCGGAGGAACAUGUGGUUUAAUUCGAAGCAACGCGAAGAACCUUACCAGGUCUUGACAUCGAUCUAAAAGGGUCAGAGAUGACCCCAUAGCUAUAGAGAAGACAGGUGGUGCAUGGUUGUCGUCAGCUCGUGUCGCGAGAUGUUGGGUUAAGUCCCGCAACGAGCGCAACCCUUGUCGCUAGUUACCAUCAUCGAGUUGGGGACUCUAGCGAGACUGCCGGUGACAAGCCGGAGGAAGGCGGGGAUGACGUCAAAUCAUCAUGCCCCUUAUGACCUGGGCUACACACGUGCUACAAUGGACAGAGCAGAGGGAAGCGAAGCCGCGAGGUGGAGCGAAACCCAUAAAACUGUUCUCAGUUCGGACUGCAGUCUGCAACUCGACUGCACGAAGCUGGAAUCGCUAGUAAUCGCGAAUCAGCAUGUCGCGGUGAAUACGUUCUCGGGCCUUGUACACACCGCCCGUCACACCAUGAGAGUCGGUAACACCCGAAGCCGGUGGCCCAACCGCAAGGAGGGAGCUGUCUAAGGUGGGACUGAUGAUUGGGGUGAAGUCGUAACAAGGUAACC
rnacentral:rRNA from 1 species